CCUACGGGAGGCAGCAGUGAGGAAUAUUGGUCAAUGGGCGGGAGCCUGAACCAGCCAAGUAGCGUGAGGGAUGACUGCCCUACGGGUCGUAAACUUCUUUUACACGGGGAUAACACGAGGCACGUGUGCCUUUUUGUAUGUACUUUGUGAAUAAGGGUCGGCUAACUCCGUGCCAGCAGCCGCGGUAAUACGGAAGAUCCGAGCGUUAUCCGGAUUUAUUGGGGUUAAAGGGAGCGUAGGUGGGUUGUUAAGUCAGGUGUGAAAGUUGGCGGCGUAACCGUAACAUCGCAAUUGAUACUGGAAGUCUUGAGUACACUACAGGCAGGCGGAAUUCGUGGUGUAGCGGUGAAAUGCAUAGAUAUCACGAAGAACCCCGAUUGCGAAGGCAGCCUACUAAACUGCCACUGACAUUGAGGCUCGAAGGUGCGGGUAUCAAACAGGAUUAGAUACCCUAGUAGUC
rnacentral:rRNA from 1 species